AGCGAACGCUGGCGGCAGGCCUAACACAUGCAAGUCGAACGAACUCUUCGGAGUUAGUGGCGGACGGGUGAGUAACACGUUGGAACGUGCCUUUAGGUUCGGAAUAACUCAGGGGAACUUGUGCUAAUACCGAAUGUGCCCCUCGGGGGAAAGAUUUAUCGCCUUUAGAGCGGCCCGCGUCUGAUUAGCUAGUUGGUGAGGUAAAGGCUCACCAAGGCGACGAUCAGUAGCUGGUCUGAGAGGAUGAUCAGCCACAUUGGGACUGAGACACGGCCCAAACUCCUACGGGAGGCAGCAGUGGGGAAUCUUGCGCAAUGGGCGAAAGCCUGACGCAGCCAUGCCGCGUGAAUGAUGAAGGUCUUAGGAUUGUAAAAUUCUUUCACCGGGGACGAUAAUGACGGUACCCGGAGAAGAAGCCCCGGCUAACUUCGUG
rnacentral:rRNA from 1 species